rfam:Otolemur garnettii contig019862, whole genome shotgun sequence.
GCAGGUCGCAGUGGCACCCGCCUGUAAACCCAGCUACUUGGGAAGCUGAGACAUGAGGAUUGCUUGAGUCCAGGAGUUCUGGGGCUGUAGUGCGCUAUGCCAAUCAGGUGUCUGCACUAAAUUCAGCAUCAACAUGGUGACCACCUGGGAGUGGGGGGCGGGAGCGGGGGACACCAAUUUGCCUAAGUAUGAACUGGCCCAGGUUGGAAACAGAGUAGGUCAGAAUGCCCAUGAGGAUCAGUAGUGGGAUAAUGCCUUUGAAUAGCCACUGCACUCCAGCCUGGGCAACAUAGUGAGACUCCGUCUCUA